UAGGGAAUCUUCGGCAAUGGACGAAAGUCUGACCGAGCAACGCCGCGUGAGUGAAGAAGGUUUUCGGAUCGUAAAACUCUGUUGGUAGAGAAGAACGUUGGUGAGAGUGGGAAGCUCAUCAAGUGACGGUAACUACCCAGAAAGGGACGGCUAACUACGUGCCAG
rnacentral:rRNA from 1 species